rnacentral:rRNA from 1 species
UACGGAGGGUGCAAGCGUUAUCCGGAUUUACUGGGUUUAAAGGGUGUGUAGGCGGAUUAUUAAGUCAGCGGUGAAAUCUCCGGGCUCAACCCGGAAACUGCCAUUGAUACUAUUAGUCUUGAAUAUUGUUGAGGUGGGCGGAACGGGUCAUGUAGCGGUGAAAUGCAUAGAUAUGACCCGGAACACCGAUUGCGAAGGCAGCCCACUAAGCAAUGAUUGACGCUGAGGCACGAAAGCGUGGGGGAAUCAAACAGGAGUUAGAAUACCC